rnacentral:rRNA from 1 species
UACGUAGGGUGCGAGCGUUGUCCGGAAUUACUGGGCGUAAAGAGCUCGUAGGUGGUUUGUCGCGUUGUUCGUGAAAACCGGGGGCUUAACCCUCGGCGUGCGGGCGAUACGGGCAGACUUGAGUACUGCAGGGGAGACUGGAAUUCCUGGUGUAGCGGUGGAAUGCGUAGAGAUCCCCAAGAACACCCGUUGCGAAGGCGGCUGACUGGACACAUAUUGACGCUGAGGCUCGAAAGCAUGGGGAGCAAACAGG